rnacentral:rRNA from 3 species
UACGUAGGGCGCAAGCGUUGUCCGGAAUUAUUGGGCGUAAAGAGCUCGUAGGUGGCUUGUCACGUCGGGUGUGAAAGCUUGGGGCUUAACUCCAGGUCUGCAUUCGAUACGGGCUGGCUAGAGGUAGGUAGGGGAGAACGGAAUUCCUGGUGUAGCGGUGAAAUGCGCAGAUAUCAGGAGGAACACCGGUGGCGAAGGCGGUUCUCUGGGCCUUACCUGACGCUGAGGAGCGAAAGCGUGGGGAGCGAACAGG